rnacentral:rRNA from 1 species
UACGUAGGGUGCAAGCGUUAUCCGGAAUUAUUGGGCGUAAAGAGCUCGUAGGCGGUUUGUCGCGUCUGCUGUGAAAACUGGAGGCUCAACCUCCAGCCUGCAGUGGGUACGGGCAAACUAGAGUGCGGUAGGGGAGAUUGGAAUUCCUGGUGUAGCGGUGGAAUGCGCAGAUAUCAGGAGGAACACCGAUGGCGAAGGCAGAUCUCUGGGCCGUAACUGACGCUGAGGAGCGAAAGCAUGGGGAGCGAACAGG